UCCGCGCUAAGAAUCCGGAUAUAAAACCCUACAUCCGGGGACGGAGUACGGAGCGUCGUGACGUAACUUCCGGGCCCGUGGGGGCGGUGCCCGUUGAAACUAAAGGCGAGUGAUUUGCCGGGCUUGAUCUGCGGUCAAUGUUGUAACGGAGCAGUUCUCGGAACUUGCUGGCGAGGGAAACAAAGGGAAUGGGUUAUUCUUUUCGUGUGCGCGGUUCCCAGAGCUGGUUCACUAUGGGCCCAAAGUUGGGUGAAUAAAUAAUAUUUUUGUCUCUUCCUUGUUGCUGUUUGAUUAGUGGAGGGCUCAUAGGCCGGUUUUACUUUUCUCAACCAUGAUGUGAAUUAUUUCCCAGGUCCCCUUUUGGUCUUAGAAAUGUUUAAUUUGGAGACUAAGCAUCCUGAUAGGACAGGAUAAGUGGGGGAGAAGAACAAGCACACAAGUUUAUAUUUGAUGCUAGAUUGUGAUUUUGAAGCCAGUUCCAGACUUCCUCAAACCAAAUUUUUAAAGAAGAAAAAACAUGUAAGAACAUACUGGCAAAAACUUUCUUUAAAACUUCCUCACCAACUAUAGUUGCUUGGUAAUAUCACUUGGGCGAGUGAAAUGCGAAGAUUUCAGGGACUCCCCCAAAACUACGCUUUUUUGUUUUGGAAAAGUUUUUUUUUUUUAAGCCAGAGUUAAAAGUAAACAUCAACUUAAUUUAUUAAUUCAUCAAACGUUUACAAGCGACAGACUUAUGCCCAGCAUUCUAUUCUUGCAUUUCUUUCGGAACUCAGGAACACGUGUACCCGAAAGCAACCCCCCGUAGGCGCCGUUUAAGCCGGCCGGCGAGGAAGGAACAGACAGCUCAGCGGCGGAAAUAGACCCCCGGAAGCCUUCCGAGGUCUAGGGAGGCGCAUGCGUGCUAGCGUCCUUGGGCCGGCGUGGACGGAUCUGAUGUGCUGCCCGACUUACGGUUCCGGCUGUGCCCGCCUGCUGUCGCGGAGCGCUUCCUGCUUCUUUCCGUUGGUGCCAGCGCGGCCCGCCGCCUACCCAAUGCCUUUUCUCUCGCGCGCGGAGUUCCCGGCCCGUACUCUUCUACCCCUCAGGGCAGCGGCGCACUUGCCACCGUCUCGGUGAGGCUGUUUUUCCGCAGUCGCCUGUCGGCACCGAGUAGUAGGUCUGGUGCAAUUAUGAAGAUCAUACAAAGCAAAAGGAAAAAACCCACCCUCCAUUCCUCACAUUGAACCAACAUUAAUAUGUUCGCUUGUUUGGCUUUUUUUCAUAUGAAAUAUUAAAUUGUCUUGCUUUCAUGUAAAA